UACGUAGGCGACGAGCGUUGUCCGGAGUUACUGGGCGUAAAGGGUGCGCAGGUGGCGGCGCGCGUGGGGGGUGAAAUCGCCCGGCUUAACUGGGCGGGGGCCUUCCAGACGGCGUGGCUUGAGCAGCGGAGGGGGACGUGGAAUUCCGGGUGGAGCGGUGAAAUGCGUAGAGAUCGGGAGGAACAUCAGUGGCGAAGGCGGCCAUCUGGGACAACACUGACGCUGAGGCACGAAAGCGUGGGGAGCAAACAGG
rnacentral:rRNA from 1 species